rnacentral:rRNA from 1 species
GAUGAACGCUGGCGGCGUGCCUAAUACAUGCAAGUCGAGCGAACAGACGAGGAGCUUGCUCCUCUGACGUUAGCGGCGGACGGGUGAGUAACACGUGGAUAACCUACCUAUAAGACUGGGAUAACUUCGGGAAACCGGAGCUAAUACCGGAUAAUAUAUUGAACCGCAUGGUUCAAUAGUGAAAGACGGUUUUGCUGUCACUUGUAGAUGGAUUCGCGCCGCAUUAGCUAGUUGGUAGGGUAACGGCGUACCAAGGCAACGAUGGGUAGCCGACCUGAGAGGGUGACCGGCCACAGUGGGACUGAGAGAAGGCCCAGACUCCGACGGGAGGCAGCAGUGGGGAGUAGGGCACAAUGGGCGGAAGCGUGAUGCAGCAACGCCGCGUGCGGGAUGACGGCAUUAGGGUUGUAAACCGCUUUCGCCUGUGACGAAGCGUGAGUGACGGUAAUGGGUAAAGAAGCACCGGCUAACUACGUG